rnacentral:rRNA from 1 species
GGUAUCCCUUUAGCACGACUUG